rnacentral:rRNA from 1 species
GACGAACGCUGGCGGCGUGCUUAACACAUGCAAGUCGUACGAGGACCAGGGUGCUUGCACCCUGUAGCCGAGUGGCGGACGGGUGAGUAACACGUGACCAACCUGUCUUCAGGUGGGGGACAACCUGGGGAAACCCGGGCUAAUACCGCAUAACGCUCGAGUCUCGCAUGGGACACGAAUCAAAGGGGGCCUCUGCUUGCAAGCUCUCGCCUGAUGAGGGGGUCGCGACGUAUCAGCUUGUUGGUGAGGUAACGGCUCACCAAGGCGACGACGCGUAGCGGGUCUGAGAGGACGACCCGCCACAUUGGGACUGAGAUACGGCCCAGACUCCUACGGGAGGCAGCAGUGGGGAAUAUUGCACAAUGGGCGAAAGCCUGAUGCAGCAACGCCGCGUGCGCGAAGAAGGCCUUCGGGUUGUAAAGCGCUUUUCUGGAGGAAGAGAAAGGACGGUACUCCAGGAAUAAGGAUCGGCUAACUACGUG